CGACCGAGUCAGGCAAGGCACCGGAAAUAU
rnacentral:rRNA from 1 species